AGGGGUACAGCUCAGUGGGAGAGCCCAUGCCUAGCAUGCACGAGGCCCUGGGUUUAAUCCCCAGUACCUCCA
rnacentral:tRNA from 1 species